UACGUAGGGUGCGAGCGUUGUCCGGAUUUAUUGGGCGUAAAGAGCUCGUAGGCGGCUUGUCGCGUCGGAUGUGAAAGCCCGGGGCUUAACUCCGGGUCUGCAUUCGAUACGGGCAGGCUAGAGUGUGGUAGGGGAGAUCGGAAUUCCUGGUGUAGCGGUGAAAUGCGCAGAUAUCAGGAGGAACACCGGUGGCGAAGGCGGAUCUCUGGGCCAUUACUGACGCUGAGGAGCGAAAAGCGUGGGGGAGCGAACAGG
rnacentral:rRNA from 1 species